CUUCUUUAUUACACUAUUACAGUUGAAACUCCAUUUACCGAAGUGAUGACCACGCUCGAAUUCUUUCGUUAAAUCGGGAAGUUCGUAUAAUC
rnacentral:lncRNA from 1 species